rnacentral:misc_RNA from 1 species
AAGUCGUAACAAGGUUUCCGUAGGUGAACCUGCGGAAGGAUCAUUAACAGUGCUUUUUGUAUGCAAAUACAAUCUCACUAACCAACCAUGUGUGAACCGUUUUGACUGCCCAAAUGUGCGGGUACCCAGUAGUAAUGCGGGUAUGGCUGCACAUUUUUAUUUUAACCUGUCUUUGUUGUACUGAAUAGUAAAGCUUAGUUGAAAAACUUGCAAAACUUUUAGCAAUGGAUCUCUAGGCUCUU